rnacentral:rRNA from 1 species
CCUACGGGCGGCAGCAGUGAGGAAUAUUGGUCAAUGGACGCAAGUCUGAACCAGCCAUGCCGCGUGCAGGAAGACGGCUCUAUGAGUUGUAAACUGCUUUUGUACGAGGGUAAACGCAGAUACGCGUACCUGUCUGAAAGUAUCGUACGAAUAAGGAUCGGCUAACUCCGUGCCAGCAGCCGCGGUAAAACGGAGGAUUCAAGCGUUAUCCGGAUUUAUUGGGUUUAAAGGGUGCGUAGGCGGUCGGAUAAGUUAGAGGUUAAAUCCGGAGGCUCAACUUCGGCAUUGCAUCUGAUACUGUUCGGCUAGAGAGUAGUUGCGGUAGGCGGAAUGUAUGGUGUAGCGGUGAAAUGCUUAGAGAUCAUACAGAACACCGAUUGCGAAGGCAGCUUACCAAGCUACUUCUGACGUUGAGGCACGAAAGCGUGGGGAGCAAACAGGAUUAGAUACCCCUGUAGUC